rnacentral:rRNA from 1 species
AUUGAACGCUGGCGGCAGGCCUAACACAUGCAAGUCGAACGAGUGGCGGACGGGUGAGUAAUGUCUGGGAAACUGCCCGAUGGAGGGGGAUAACUACUGGAAACGGUAGCUAAUACCGCAUACCAUCAGAUGUGCCCAGAUGGGAUUGGCUAGUGGGUGGGGUAAAGGCUCACCAGGGCGACGAUCCCUAGCUGGUCUGAGAGGAUGACGAGCAACACUGGAACUGGGACACGGUCCAGACUCCUAGGGGAGGAAGCAGUGGGGAAUAUUGCACAAUGGGUGAAAGCCGGAUGCAGCCAUGCGGGGUGGAUGAAGAAGGCCUUGGGGUGGUAAAGUACUUUUAGCGGGGAGGCGUUACCCGCAGAAGAAGCACCGGCUAACUCCGUGCCAGCAGCCGCGGUAAUUC